rnacentral:rRNA from 1 species
GAGUUUGAUCGUGGCUCAGGAUGAACGCUAGCGGCAGGCUUAACACAUGCAAGUCGAGGGGUAUAGUUUUUCGGAACUAGAGACCGGCGCACGGGUGCGUAACGCGUAUGCAACCUACCUUUUACUAGGGGGAGUAGCCCAGAGAAAUUUGGAUUAAUACCCCACUGGUAUACCACUAUCGCAUGGUAGUGUUAUUAAAGUUCCAACGGUAAAGAUGGGCAUGCGUCCCAUUAGCUAGAUGGUAAGGUAACGGCUUACCAUGGCUACGAUGGGUAGGGGUCCUGAGAGGGAGAUCCCCCACACUGGUACUGAGACACGGACCAGACUCCUACGGGAGGCAGCAGUGAGGAAUAUUGGUCAAUGGGCGCAAGCCUGAACCAGCCAUGCCGCGUGCAGGAUGACGGUCCUAUGGAUUGUAAGCUGCUUUUGUACGAGAAGAAACACUCCUUCGUGAAGGAGCUUGACGGUAUCGUAAGAAUAAGGAUCGGCUAACUCCGUGCCAGCC